GACGAACGCUGGCGGCGUGCCUAAUACAUGCAAGUCGAACGCAGUGGGGACUGGUGAGUAACACGUGGGUAACCUCCCAUCAGAGGGGAUAACACUUGGAAACAGGUGCUAAACAGAUAUUGAUGUAUGGACCAGCGGUGCAUUAGCUAGUUGGUGAGGUAACGGCUCACCAAGGCAACGAUGCAUAGGCGGACUGAGAGGGUGAUCGGCAACACUGGGACUGAGACACGGCCCAGACUCCUACGGGAGGCAGGAGUAGGGAAUCUUCGGCAAUGGACGAAAGUCUGACUGAGCCACGCCGCGUGAGUGAAGAAGGUCUUCGGAGCGUAAAACUCUGUUGUUAGAGAAGCGGUAUCUAACCAGAAAGCCACGGCUAACUACGUGCCAGCAGCCGCGGUAAUUC
rnacentral:rRNA from 1 species